ACCGCGACCCCAGGUCAGGCGGGACUACCCGCUGAGUUUAAGCAU
rnacentral:rRNA from 1 species